UACAGAGGGUGCAAGCGUUAAUCGGAAUUACUGGGCGUAAAGCGCGCGUAGGCGGAUAUUUAAGUCGAGUGUGAAAUCCCCGGGCUCAACCUGGGAACUGCAUUCGAUACUGAAUGUCUAGAGUAUGAUAGAGGAAAGUGGAAUUCCCGGUGUAGCAGUGAAAUGCGUUGAUAUCAUCAGGAACACCGGAGGCGAAGGCGGCUCACUGGGGGUCUUCUGACGCUGAGGAACGAAAGCCAGGGGAGCGAACGGG
rnacentral:rRNA from 1 species